ensembl:lncRNA
UGCAAACCAGUCCAGAGGAACACGCUGGAAAACGCUAAUAAAAGCAACAGAAGAUGACGGUGAAUGCGACAAAAGUGGUACUGCGAGAAGGUCAGGUGAAGUACUACAAAUCAGUUGUAUUGCAUGUGAGUUGAACGCGUCCGUACGAGUUCGUGGUUGAUGGAGUGAAUCUAGAAAGGCUACUACGCUUGCCCACUUACGCUUCCAUACCUACAAGACAUAAAGACAGGCGAAACGAAUAAUACCACAGGCUUUAUAUCUCUCUUCAGUGCUGGUUACUCAGGGCCAAGGAUGGAAGAGUGUUUGAUAGAGACAUCAGCAGUUGCUCUGUGUUUCCCUGAAGUUUGGCCAAACUCUUCAUCU